rnacentral:rRNA from 1 species
CCAGACUCCUACGGGAGGCAGCAGUGGGGAAUAUUGGGCAAUGGGCGCAAGCCUGACCCAGCAACGCCGCGUGAAGGAAGAAGGCUUUCGGGUUGUAAACUUCUUUUCUCAGGGACGAAGAAAGUGACGGUACCUGAGGAAUAAGCCACGGCUAACUACGUGCCAGCAGCCGCGGUAAUACGUAGGUGGCAAGCGUUAUCCGGAUUUAUUGGGUGUAAAGGGCGUGUAGGCGGGAGCGCAAGUCAGAUGUGAAAACUCAGGGCUCAACCUGUGGCCUGCAUUUGAAACUGUGUUUCUUGAGUACUGGAGAGGCAGACGGAAUUCCUAGUGUAGCGGUGAAAUGCGUAGAUAUUAGGAGGAACACCAGUGGCGAAGGCGGUCUGCUGGACAGCAACUGACGCUGAGGCGCGAAAGCGUGGGGAGCAAACAGGAUUAGAUACCCGCGUAGC